AAGUGUUCAUGGUAGAGUACUCGAACAUGGUAUGGAAAUAUGUGAAAUCAAUCCCAUACUCUCAGAGAAAAUAGGGUCUAUUUGAAAAGAAGGUGUGGCGCCUUUCAAUCUCACUGAUACUAUUACGUAUCUUUGUAUGCAUAUACAUACACCUUUGCUAGGUUAUUUAAGACGGAAAUAGAAAUAUGCCUUCUGACAACCACAAAACCGUAAUAUUACAAGAUAAAUGCAUGACUGAAUAUCAUCAGCGUGAACUGCUGGUGAAAAUGUUGGGCCAAAAGGUUUCAAUACAAAAAUUCAUUUUGGGCGGGACGAAGUUCGCCGGGUCUGCUAGUACAUAUGUAAAACGUAGCGCUGAUCAACCGUGGUCAAAGCAAACGUGAAUUUUUGGCUUCUAUCGAAACCAAAUACGGAAAGUACAUACUCUCAUACAAAGCACUGCUACUGCAUUUAGCCGCGCUAGGGCAGUACAGUGUCUCAAGAACGUAAAGUAGCACAGUGGGACAACAUAAAUAAAAAUUGAAUACAAUACAAAUAAAUAGGUAGAAACAUUUAUAUUUGUUCAUAUUCUGCCAUCUAUCUCCCGCAAUCAUUAUUAGUUACCAAAGUGUGGGACCCUUAUAUAAAGAAUUUAGGUUUGAAUGCCAUAAAUUGGAUUUAUGUUGCCAAAAAUGGUCAUCAUGCUCACCAAGGAACCUCUCAGCGUCGCUGUUAAAGGUAAAAAUCAACGUUUUAGACAAACACUGGGAAAGUUGAUUGGCUUCUUUCAACUUUCUCUCAAUCCCGCACUACUCUGAAGCUAGUAACUCCGCAAAGCUAGUAUUUGAAAGAUCCUCUACUAAAUAUACUAGUUGCAAAGCUGAAAUGGUUGAAGCAUUGGACGCCCUCAAUUCCAACUCAGCAACUCCGUAAAUCCCAAUACCUACACCUAAUCCGUCGCAACCUUCAGACCCCAAUGAAGGUCACCCAAUUAUGCAGUCCACUAUUCAGGUGUCUUCCCCCACAGACACAGCCUGAAAAUAUCCCCCUAUAAAUUCCAUUCCAAUGAACUCAAAUAGCGCAGAAUCCUCCAAUGAUUCUCUAAAGUGCUUCCGAACUCAACCCUCUUCCAACUUUCAUCUACCCCAAAAAGUGUCAGACGCGGUAACUUCCGGCCGGCAGGGGCUCUACCGCCGAUGCAAGCUCGGCAGAAGCCAUCAACUCUCAACCCCGAAGAUGUUGAAAACUGUUCAAACUUUGGUAAAACCACAAAUACGUCAGCUUCAAGACCAACAUGCCCUCUACUACAAACCACGUUCGAUCCCAGCAGCAACCACAAUGGCCUACAAUGUCAUCACCUUCAUCAACACAGGAACAGCAGGAAAAGCUGUGGUUAGAUUGAAGCUUCUUACCGACGCUUAUUACACACUUUUUGCUUCAACUCUGAGGCAAAAGGACACCCAGACGUCAACUUCAUUUCGGUACACAAGUGACCAUAGUCACCAACAAAUGCACAAGAGAAGUCACACCCAACUGGUUGCGAGAGGACCAGUGUCGAUUUAUCCCCCAUACAUCCCAAAAGUGAUGUUACACUCCAAAGUCGAAGGGCGUACCUACAGGAGAAUGUCUGUAGGAAUUUCUCUGUACCUAAACCCUUAUUGAAUCAUAAUCCAUCCACUUUGAAUGGGCGUUAUCAUUCUCCACAUUGGAAGUGUGGACGCUUUACGGGGCCUUCUCCUACACCCGAAGCAUAUCCCACAAAUAAACCUCCUAUCACCAAUUAUAUACGCAUGCUCCAAGCUCACCCACUUUCUCACGCAAUAUCUCUCUCAAACACGAAUUUAGCUAAAUUCACAUCACUCGUGCUUCAAAACUAACUCAUUUUACGACUCUUUUUCCACAGGCUAACCAAGAUGGGUCGCAGUUCUAGUGAAGGGUCUCCACUCCUCUUUUUCCAGGGAUCCCAGGUCAGUCCGUAUGAAGAACAAAUAAAACGGUAUCCCUACUGCCUUAACUGCCUGGCUACGUUCCACACAACCGGGUAUGCAAUACGUUCGACCGCUGCGAUAACUGUGGUAAGGCACCCCACACUAUACUCCGUCGCUCAAAAAGUAUUAAGUAUUUGUGACGAGUCGCUUUGGUUUGUAAACGACGGUGUGGGGCGACCCGACCGCGCCAGCCUAUAGGCAGUCAACUCGCGACCGCCCCCGCACUCAUUUGUAAAUUUGAACUCAUCAGCUAAGCUCCUCUGGCAAACAAUAACACAUGAACUCAGUUUCGCUCAAACAAUUAGCUUAAGUUAAAAGAAAUACAUAUAACUUUGUAUAUUCACCAAAUAAAUGAAAUGAAUUAAACGUAUAAUACUA